GACGAACGCUGGCGGCGUGCUUAACACAUGCAAGUCGAACGGAAAGGCCCUGCUUUUGUGGGGUGCUCGAGUGGCGAACGGGUGAGUAACACGUGAGUAACCUGCCCUUGACUUUGGGAUAACUUCAGGAAACUGGGGCUAAUACCGGAGAGGAGCUCCUGCUGCAUGGGGGGGGUUGGAAAGUUUCGGCGGUGGGGGAUGGACGCGCGGCUUAUCAGCUUGUUGGGGGGGUAGUGGCUUACCAAGGCUUUGACGGGUAGCCGGCCUGAGAGGGUGACCGGCCACAUUGGGCCUGAGAUACGGCCCAGACUCCUACGGGAGGCAGCAGUGGGGAAUAUUGCACAAUGGGCGGAAGCCUGAUGCAGCAACGCCGCGUGCGGGAUGACGGCCUUCGGGUUGUAAACCGCUUUCGCCUGUGACGAAGCGUGAGUGACGGUAAUGGGUAAAGAAGCACCGGCUAACUACGUG
rnacentral:rRNA from 1 species